rfam:Vibrio ponticus DNA, contig: contig00014_65, strain: JCM 19238.
GGAGAGAUGGCUGAGUGGUUGAAAGCACCGGUCUUGAAAACCGGCAUACGUUAAUAGCGUAUCUAGGUUCAAAUCCCUAUCUCUCCG